rnacentral:lncRNA from 1 species
UAUUUUUAGUAUCUGAUUUAUAUCUAUAUUUAUUUAAAAUGAAUAUGAAUAUAAAUAUUUACAUCCGAUUAAUAUCUCUGCAUAUCUUUAUUUAUAUUCAUCAAAUAAAAUAAAUAAAAAUAUGGAUAUAUUGAUAUUCGAUUCAUAUCUGGUUCGAUUUCAGCCUCAAAGGAGCUGUAAAUGAGCACUAAAAAGAAGUGGGGGGAGA